rnacentral:rRNA from 1 species
UAUCUCUGUAGAGUCUGCAUAUCAAUAAGCGGAGGAAAAGAAACUAACAAGGAUUCCCCUAGUAACGGCGAGUGAAGCGGGAAGAGCUCAAAUUUGAAAUCUUAAAGGGUUUCCCUUUACGAAUUGUAGUUUAAAGAAGUGUUUUCUGUUGAGGUUUUGGUAAAAGUUCUUUGGAAUAGGACAUCAUAGAGGGUGAGAAUCCCGUAUUUGACCUUUACUUUCAACUUUGUGAUACACUUUCAAAGAGUCGGAUUGUUUGGGAAUGCAGUCCAAAAUGGGUGGUAAAUUUCAUCUAAAGCUAAAUAUUGGCGAGAGACCGAUAGCGAACAAGUACCGUGAGGGAAAGAUGAGAAGAACUUUGAAAAGAGAGUUAAACAGUACGUGAAAUUGUCAAAAGGGAAGCGUUUGACACCAGUGUUGUUUUUCUGAAAAUCAAUUAAAGAACUGUUUAUGCUAAGCUGUUUAGACUUUAUCUGCUAUCUGUUUAGUUUUGAGCUUUUCUUUAAUGCACUUUUCAGUUAACAAGUCAACAUCAAUUUCUUUUGCUGUAAAAAAGCUUGAGGAAGGUGGCUUGGGAUUCGUCUUAAGUGUUUAUAGCCUCUUGCCUAUGCAGUCGGAGAGAUUGAGGUCUGCAGCGUAGAUCCUUCGGGGCUAAAUGCAUUUGUGCUAAGUUAUAGCAUUUUAUAGACAACUUGUUGACUAUGAUUAGUCUUGUAGCUUACUCGCUUAUGCUAUUUUACCUACGCUUAGGAUGUUGACGAUCAGCUGAGCGCG